rnacentral:rRNA from 1 species
GACGAACGCUGGCGGCGUGCCUAAUACAUGCAAGUCGAACGCAGUGGGGACGGGUGAGUAACACGUGGGUAACCUCCCAUCAGAGGGGAUAACACUUGGAAACAGGUGCUAAACCGAUACUGAUGGAUGGACCCGCGGUGCAUUAGCUAGUUGGUGGGGUAACGGCUCACCAAGGCCACGUUGCAUAGCCCGCCUGGGAGGUGGACCGGCACAACUGGGACGGAGACCCGGCCCAGCCUCCUACGGGAGGCAGCAGUAGGGAAUCUUCGGCAAUGGACGAAAGUCUGACCGAGCAACGCCGCGUGAGUGAAGAAGGUUUGCGGAUCGUAAAACUCUGUUGUUAGAGAAGCGGUAUCUAACCAGAAAGCCACGGCUAACUACGUGCCAGCAGCCGCGGUAAUAC